UACCUGGUUGAUCCUGCCAGUAGUCAUAUGCUUGUCUCAAAGAUUAAGCCAUGCAUGUCUAAGUAAAAGCAAAUUUUUACAGCGAAACUGCGAAUGGCUCAUUAAAUCAGUUAUGAUCUACAUGACAAUUACUUUACUACUGGAUAACCGUGGUAAUUCUAGAGCUAAUACAUGCAGAAAAGGCCUGACUUCGGAAGGGCUGCACUUAUUAGAUCAAAACCUUCCUGGGUAAAACCAGUUCUUUGGUGAUUCAUAAUAAUUUAGCUGAUCGCAUGGCCUUGCGCCGGCGACGGUACAUUCGAUUUUCUGC
rnacentral:ncRNA from 1 species